GAGAAUCAUAAUGGCCGAAAAUCUAAGGUUUCCGGGGGUAGGGUCGUCCACCCCGGGUUAGCCGGGAGCUAAGGCGAGGCCGCGAGGCGUAGUCGAUGCACAAACGGUAGAGAUUCCGUUGCCGCCAGAUCUUAAGUAACUGACACGAGGGUAGAGUUCAACCCGGCCGAUGGUAGAGCCGGGCGAAAGGGACUGAAAAAUAGUAGGGAAGUGAACGAAGCCAGCGGCGAGAAAAGGUUAUGUAUGAAAUCAGGCGCCCGUACCGCAAACCGACACAGGUAGAUGAGGAGAGGAUCCUAAGGCCAGCGGGAGAAGGGUUGUUAAGGAACUCGGCAUAUUGACCCCGUAACUUCGGAAGAAGGGGUGCCUCCGCAAGGAGGCCGCAGUGAAAAGGCCCAGGCAACUGUUUAUCAAAAACACAGGUUUCUGCAAAAGCGAAAGCUGAAGUAUAGGAGCUGACGCCUGCCCGGUGCUGGAAGGUCAAGGGGAUCGCUUAGCGCAAGCGAAGGCGAGAACUUAAGCCCCAGUAAACGGCGGCCGUAACAAUAGCGGUCCUAAGGUAGCGAAAUUCCUUGCCAGGUAAGAUCUGGCCUGCACGAAUGGCGUAAUGAUCUGGGCACUGUCUCAACAGCCCGCCCGGCGAAAUUGUAGUACCGGUGAAGAUGCCGGUUUCCUGCGACUAGACGGAAAGACCCCAUGGAGCUUUACUGUAGUCUGAUACUGAAAUUUGGUUCAUUAUGCACAGGAUAGGUGGGAGACAGAGAAACCCGGGCUUUGGCUUGGGCGGAGUCGCCGUUGGGAUACCACUCUUGAUGAACCAAGUUUCUAACCUGCUCCCGUGAUCCGGGAGGGGGACAAUGUCAGAUGGGCAGUUUGACUGGGGCGGUCGCCUCCAAAAGAGUAACGGAGGCGUUCAAAGGUUGGCUCAGCGCGGACGGAAAUCGCGCAAUGAGUAUAAACGUAUAAGCCAGCCUAACUGUGAGACCUACAAGUCGAGCAGUAACGAAAGUUGGAGUUAGUGAUCAGGUGGUAGUGAGUGGAAAUGCCAUCGCUUAACGGAUAAAAGCUACCCUGGGGAUAACAGGCUGAUCUCCCCCAAGAGUUCACAUCGACGGGGAGGUUUGGCACCUCGAUGUCGGCUCAUCACAUCCUGGAGCUGGAGAAGGUUCCAAGGGUUCGGCUGUCCGCCGAUUAAAGUGGUACUCGAGCUGGGUUCAGAACGUCGUGAGACAGUUCGGUCCCUAUCUGUCGUGGGCGUUGGAUAUUUGAGAAGGGCUGACCUUAGUACGAGAGGACCGGGUCGGACGCACCUCCUGUGCACCAGUUGUCCUGCCAAGGGCAUAGCUGGGUAGCGGCGUGCGGUUUUGAUAAACGCUGAAGGCAUCUAAGCGUGAAGCAUGCUUCAAGAUGAGAUAUCCCAUCAUUUCAAAUGAGUAAGGUCACUUGCAGACUACAAGUUGAUAGGUCGGGUGUGUAAGCACGGUAACGUGUUCAGCUAACCGAUACUAAUUGACCGAGGGCUUG
rnacentral:rRNA from 1 species